UGUUUACAUUAGGCAUAUCAAAAUUCAAACUGAGUGCAUGUCAUUGGCAGACCACGAUGUGCAGCAGUAGAAUAAAGGUUUUUGUACACAGUGUACAGUGUGGCUGGAUUAGAUCUGACAGGACUGAGUACUCCAUUAUCAGGAAACCUUGACAUCCACAAAGAGCUGGAAGACCAGAUGGCAGUUUCUUUCAGUAGAACAUUCUAUGACAUUUGGAAUGGGCUUUGCAAUAAACUCCAUGAACAUUCCAGCACUAGUUGGCAAGGUUGUUAAACAUCCAGUCAAUACAUUGAGACCUAUAUGGAAGGACAGAUACAACCAGACAGUGCAAUCCUACAAUACGUCAAUUAGAUGGUUCUUUCUGCCUCAUUACUCCACUGCUCCACUCGCUCCACUGGCUCCCGAUCACCACUCGCAUCCAGUUCAAGACUCUUGUACUCACCUACCGAUGCCUUGACCAGAAUGCACCCGGCUACCUCCAGAUCCUCCAUCUCUCCCUACACCUCUCCACUCUGCCUGCAAUAGAAGACUGGCUGUACUUCCUCUAUACUCCCCUGCCUCCAGAGCCUGCUCUCUCUCCACCCUCGCCCCGCAGUG